rnacentral:rRNA from 1 species
UACGUAGGGUGCGAGCGUUAAUCGGAAUUACUGGGCGUAAAGCGUGCGCAGGCGGUUAUGUAAGACAGAGGUGAAAUCCCCGGGCUCAACCUGGGAACUGCCUUUGUGACUGCAUGACUAGAGUAAGGCAGAGGGGGAUGGAAUUCCGCGUGUAGCAGUGAAAUGCGUAGAUAUGCGGAGGAACAACGAUGGCGAAGGCAAUCCCCUGGGCCUGUACUGACGCUCAUGAACGAAAGCGUGGGGAGCAAACAGG